ACUUCAGAGGUUCGCCUCUAGAAGAUUGCAAUGAGAACAAUUUAAAUCACUUAACGAGGAACAAUUGGAGGGCAAGUCUGGUGCCAGCAGCCGCGGUAAUUCCAGCUCCAAUAGCGUAUACAUAAGUUGUUGCAGUUAAAAAGCUCGUAGUUGAACUUCUGAUUGGGCACUUUCGCGGCUUCUGCCAGUUUGUUGUUCAGUCAUCCGUCUGCAACCCUUCAACGGCCUUCACUGGUACGGGAAGGUGAGUAGACAAUUUACCUUGAAAAAAUUAGAGUGUUUCAGGCAGGUUCUCGCCGGAAUACAUUAGCAUGGAAUAAUGGAAUAGGACUCUUGUCCUUUGUUGGUUUCGGGAUAGGAGUAAUGAUUAAUAGGAACAGAUGGGGGCAUUAGUAUUUAAUUGUCAGAGGUGAAAUUCUUGGAUUUAUUAAGGACUAACUAAUGCGAAAGCAUUUGCCAAGGAUGUUUUCAUUAAUCAAGAACGAAAGUUAGGGGAUCAAAGACGAUCAGAUACCGUCGUAGUCUUAACCAUAAACUAUACCGACUCGGGAUCGGAGGGGUUUAAAUUUUAGUCCCUUCGGCACCGUAUGAGAAAUCAAGGUCUUUGGGUUCUGGGGGGAGUAUGGUCGCAAGGCUGAAACUUAAAGGAAUUGACGGAAGGGCACCACCAGGAGUGGAGCCUGCGGCUUAAUUUGACCCAACACGGGGAAACUUACCAGGUCAAAACAUGGAUAGGAUUGACAGAUUGAAAGCUCUUUCUUGAUUCUAUGGGUGGUGGUGCAUGGCCGUUCCUAGUUGGUGGAGUGAUUUGUCUGGUUAAUUCCGAUAACGAACGAGACCUUAACCUGCUAACUUGUUCGGAUCUGAAUAAGGUUCGUAACUUCUUAGAGGGACUAUGCAUCUAAAUGCAUGGAAGUUUGAGGCAAUAACAGGUCUGUGAUGCCCCUAGACGUCCUGGGCCGCACGCGCGCUACACUGACACGUUCAGCGAGCAAUUCUACCUGACACGAAAGGGUUCGGGAAAUCUUGUUAGGACGUGUCGUGCUGGGGAUAGAUCUUUGCAAUUAUAGAUCUUGAACGAGGAAUUCCUUGUAAGCACAAGUCAUCAGCCUGUGCUGAAUACGUCCCUGCCCUUUGUACACACCGCCCGUCGCUCCUACCGAUUUCGAGUGAUGUGGUGAACAUUCUGGACUGCGUUAGGACUUGUGCCUAAUGCAGGAAGUUAUGUAAAUCUUAUCACUUAGAGGAAGGAGAAGUCGUAACAAGGUU
rnacentral:rRNA from 1 species